UACGUAGGGUGCAAGCAUUAUCCGGAGUGACUGGGCGUAAAGAGUUGCGUAGGUGGUUUGUUAAGUGAAUAGUGAAAUCUGGGGGCUCAACCUCACAGACUAUUAUUCAAACUGGCAGACUCGAGAAUGGUAGAGGUAACUGGAAUUUCUAGUGUAGGAGUGAAAUCCGUAGAUAUUAGAAGGAACACCAAUGGCGUAGGCAGGUUACUGGACCAUUUCUGACACUGAGGCACGAAAGCGUGGGGAGCGAACCGG
rnacentral:rRNA from 1 species